UAUUUAUAUUUUGUUUUGUAUAUUCAAAUUUUUUACUUAUAAUUUAAAUUAAAUGUUUUUUUUUAAUAGUUUUAUUAAUAUUAAUUUUGUCUUUUAUUAAAGAAUAAUUUUUUUUUGGUUUUUUUUUGAUUAAAUAUGUGCCAGCUUUCGCGGUUAAACAUAUAUUUAAGUAAAAUUUUUUUUUUGACUUUAUUAUUAAUUAUUUAUUUUUUUUUUAGGUGAAAUUUAAUUUAAUUUUAAUUAGUUAUAUUUUCAAUUUAGUUUAUUAUUUAAAACCAGGAUUAGAUACCCUGUUAUGUUAAUUAUUAGUUAGGUAGUAAAUUCUUUUAAACCUGAAAUAUCUUGACGGUAUAUUAUCUAUUCAGGGAAAUUUGUAUCAUAAUUGAUAAUACUCGUUAAAAUUUUCUUAGUUUAAUUUAGGUGAUGUAUUGUCGUUUUAAAAUUUUUUUAUAAAAAUUUUUUUUACUUUUUAGUUUUACAACAGAUCAAAAUUUUCUUUAUAGUUAAGAGAAUUAUGAAUUGCUUUUUUUAAUUGAUUUUUUAUGAAAAAUACUUGAAAAUAGGACUUGUUAGUAUAAAGGAAAAUUAUUUUUUUUAGAAUAAGGAAUAAUUUAUGUACAUAUCGCCCGUCACUCUCUUUAAGGAGAUAAGUCGUAACAAAGUAGAGGUAUUGGAAGAUGUCUCUUUAAA
rnacentral:ncRNA from 1 species